ensembl:lncRNA
GCUGGCCAUGUUUAACCCUGCAAUGACCAAUACACUUCCUGCUCAGACAAACCUGUAUUCUGAAUCCUCACAGCACAGGUAAACCCUCCCUACACUGGCUCCUCUUGAGAGAGAAGACAAAGAAAGAGCAUGAAAGCCAUUAAACCAGAGGACUGGAAGCUAGUAAUGCUGUUCGUUCAGGUGGAUGAACUCUGUGUAUGUCAGGGGCAGGUCAGUAACACUAACCUUACACAUAUCUGGAUUUCAAUUAAAGUCCACUUCUAAUGACCCCACAAUCUUUCAGAUAGGAAACCUAUGAUUUUGAAAUCAAAAUAUUGUGCAAAAGAUCUGUCAUAA